AGUACUUUUUCCUUUGGGAAGGUACCAUCUGUGAAGUCUGCAAUUCUGUUGAAGAAAGAUGUUGAAUCUAUUUAAUUAUUGUAGAAAAAUAAUUGAUUGAUUGAUUGAUAAACAAAGGAUGUGACUCUAAACUUAUGUUUCCGAGCACCAGCUUUCUCACAAACCCCUCCCUCCUGUCCCAGCUUUUUCUUCUUUUUAUUAAAGUUUCACUUUCACUUGUCCUGAACUUGGUGUCGCAGAUGAUCUUGUCGGUGUGAAUAUCCAUGUGAAGGCAGACUGCAGACUGGGAAACACCAGUCCUUCUUAGUCCUUCUACUCACAACAUAUAAGAAUCUAACUGGAACACGUCCUCUUACUGAGGUCUGCACUACGAAGCAGGAUUUGAUCUUAUCAAGCAUCAGAGUCACAGCAGGAAGUUGUUGCUGUUGUAAUCAUUGUGUUCAAUGUGGCGGCAGCCAGAUCACAGAGAAGAAGCAAAGGAUUUUCUGUUUUUCUAAACAGACGUGUUCCACACAGUGGAGAACCAAAGAGUGAAGAAGUUCUUUGGAAGAAGCUGAGUAAGUGGAACUUUGAUUCAUUAGAGUCUCUGAGGUUUCGUCUUCAUCACAAAGCAGCUGCUGCUCUUUGUUAGUGUGUUUAUGCAGAGAACAGAUGAAGACUGUGAUGCAUUGGAUAAAGACUCAAAACCAAAAUGUGCCUUGAAUAUAAACUUGACAACAUCUACAAGUAGAUAUUUGGUUUACUCUCUUCUCUUCAGAUGAACAGUCUGUGUCAGUGUCUUCAGACGGCUGCAGGUUGUUACCAGCUUCAUUAAAUGUUUCUCAUUCUGCAUUUCAUAUCACAUCUGCCACUGUUUGAGCCUCUUUAACAGAGGAGAUCAGACUGUAACGUGAUAUUUAUUAAGACUCAGUUUUCUUGUGAACUCUGAACAGAUUAGAUUAGAUUAGAUACAGCCUCACAAAUCAAACUAUAAACUAUAAAACAAGUUCUGAUUUUAGCUCAGAUGGUUCAGAUGCUGGACUCCAGUCUGACUGAUACUCAAGUUGUUUUAUGGAGCGCCAAGGUUCAUGUUCAUUUGUUAAAUAUUCUUCAUAAUUCAUGGAGAAUAUUUAACAGGAAUCAGUGAGCGCCCCCUGCUGGUUCCCCCUGAGUGCUGCUUGUCAGUCUGCAGUGAUACUGCAGGAUGGAUUUAUGGAGGCUUUGAGGGAUUCACUGCAGUUCUUCUGUAGUUAGUCCCUCACAGCUACAUAGUCAGUCACAGUGCCACUGAUACGAGCUACACCAGUUCUAUAGUCCCUACAAACAACACAUGAAAUACUAACAGGCUGAAAAGGAGACCA